GUCCACGCCUAACAAUGAUCACUCGACAUUAGCGAUAACUGUUAGUGUCUAAGCAAAGCGUUAAGUGAUCCACCUGGGAGUACGCUCGCAAGAGUGAACUCAAGUAAUUGACGGGUCCGCACAAGCGGUGGAGCAUGUGGUUAAUUCGAUGAUACGCGAGGAACCUUACCUAGGCUAGAAUGUGAUUUGACAGAUUGUGAAAGCCAAUCAUUCCCUUCGGGGACAAAUUGCAAGGUGCUGCAUGGCUGUCGU
rnacentral:rRNA from 1 species